UACGAAGGGUGCAAGCGUUACUCGGAAUUACUGGGCGUAAAGCGUGCGUAGGUGGUGAGUUAAGUCUGUCGUGAAAGCCCCGGGCUCAACCUGGGAAUGGCGAUGGAUACUGGCUCGCUAGAGUGCGGUAGAGGAGAGUGGAAUUCCCGGUGUAGCAGUGAAAUGCGUAGAGAUCGGGAGGAACACCGGUGGCGAAGGCGGGUCUCUGGGCAAUUCCUGACGCUGAGGCGCGAAAGCGUGGGGAGCAAACGGG
rnacentral:rRNA from 1 species